CCUACGGGAGGCAGCAGUGAGGAAUAUUGGUCAAUGGGCGCGAGUCUGAACCAGCCACGUAGCGUGAAGGAUGACUGCCCUACGGGUUGUAAACUUCUUUUAUCAAGGAAUAAAGUGAUGCACGUUUGCUUUUUUGUAUGUACUUUAUGAAUAAGGAUCGGCUAACUCCGUGACAGCAGCCGCGGUAAUACGGAGGAUCCGAGCGUUAUCCGGAUUUAUUGGGUUUAAAGGGAGCGUAGAUGGGUUGUUAAGUCAGUUGUGAAAGUUUGCGGCUCAACCGUAAAAUUGCAAUUGAUACUGGCAGUCGUGAGUACAGUUGAGGUAGGCGGAAUGCGUGGUGUAGCGGUGAAAUGCUUAGAUAUCACGAAGAACUCCGAUUGCGAAGGCAGCUUACUAAACUGCCACUGACAUUGAUGCUCGAAAGUGUGGGUAUCAAACAGGAUUAGAUACCCGAGUAGUC
rnacentral:rRNA from 1 species